rnacentral:rRNA from 1 species
AGAGCGAACGCUGGCGGCAGGCUUAACACAUGCAAGUCGAGCGGGCGUAGCAAUACGUCAGCGGCAGACGGGUGAGUAACGCGUGGGAACGUACCUUUUGGUUCGGAACAACCCAGGGAAACUUGGGCUAAUACCGGAUAAGCCCUUACGGGGAAAGAUUUAUCGCCGAAAGAUCGGCCCGCGUCUGAUUAGCUAGUUGGUGAGGUAAUGGCUCACCAAGGCGACGAUCAGUAGCUGGUCUGAGAGGAUGAUCAGCCACAUUGGGACUGAGACACGGCCCAAACUCCUACGGGAGGCAGCAGUGGGGAAUAUUGGACAAUGGGCGCAAGCCUGAUCCAGCCAUGCCGCGUGAGUGAUGAAGGCCCUAGGGUUGUAAAGCUCUUUGUGCGGGAAGAUAAUGACGGUACCGCAAGAAUAACGCCCCGGACUAACUUCGCGCCAGCAGCCGC